rnacentral:tRNA from 1 species
GGGGAGGUAACUCAGCGGUAGAGUGUAUGUCUUGCAAGCAUGAGGCCCUGGGUUCGAUUCCUCAGCACCA